rnacentral:rRNA from 1 species
UACGGGGGGGGCAAGCGUUGUUCGGAAUUACUGGGCGUAAAGGGCUCGUAGGCGGCCAACUAAGUCAGACGUGAAAUCCCCAGGCUUAACCUGGGAACUGCGUCUGAUACUGGAUGGCUUGAAUUCGGGAGAGGGAUGCAGAAUUCCAGGUGUAGCGGUGAAAUGCGUAGAUAUCAGGAGGAACACCGGUGGCGAAGGCGGGUCUCUGGGCCGAUAUCGACGCUGAGGAGCGAAAGCGUGGGGAGCGAACAGG